AGGAGUCACAGUCUGUACUUUCAUGCACAUGUCCUCGAAAUGGUAAAGAAGGAGAACUUCAAGAGCAUCCUAAAUGAUGAUCCUGGGUCUUCAACAGGGCAAGAUGCAAGUUACAGUGUGGUGUGAGGUCUGUGCAUGGCGCAUGUGUCUCAAUGAUUCCUCAGCAACAUCAGACCUUCUUGAAGGAGAGCACAUGGCGAGAUUUCAUAGGCUCAACUACACUACCGAGCAGCUGAUAAUUUCUUUAUUCACAGAGGUCCGGCUUCCUUGGGAUUACUUUAAUUGGAGUUUGGCAAGCAAUAAUAAUUUAACAUGUGCCCUGGCAUGUGUUCUUGCCCCAUUUCAGAACACAGGCUACAUUCGUAGCAAAAAGAAGAGUAGUCCAGUUAUUUCAUUGUGUAUGGAAAACAACAUCAAAAUUUAGUAACUUGAAAUAUCCACAUUAAUUUUGCACUCUAUAAUUUAGAAGGUUGAGAAAUUAACUGCAGCCUACUUGUGAUUACUUACCAUUGCCUGAGCCACUCCAACUCAUUGACAGAAUCUAUGCACAUCAGCAUCUGUGUCUUACAGUAAGGUGGAGAUGGGUGGAUGUCAUUGGAGAGACUAUUGCACAGUAUUUCUUAAAGUCACUGACUUUAUAAAGUUCACAAGUGCAAAUGCUCACUGAAUGAACAAGUGACUGUUUAAGUGAUUUGCUUAAACAUGUUGCUAUGAGCAGUCCCUAAUAAGCAUGGGGUAGGGAAUGAUGGUAAGAGGGCUGUGUAGACAACCAGCAAAGAAAUGCUUCUGGUGGUGGUCAGUGAUGGAAUGAAUGUUUCUAUAACCUGAGUUAGAG
rnacentral:lncRNA from 1 species